rnacentral:rRNA from 1 species
AGAUUGAACGCUGGCGGCAUGCCUUACACAUGCAAGUCGAACGGCAGCACGGGGGCAACCCUGGUGGCGAGUGGCGAACGGGUGAGUAAUAUAUCGGAACGUGUCCUGUAGCGGGGGAUAACCUAUCGAAAGAUGGACUAAUACCGCAUACGAUCUACGGAUGAAAGCGGAGGACCGCAAGGCUUCGCACUAUAGGAGCGGCCGAUAUCGGAUUAGCUAGUUGGCGGGUAAAGCCCACCAAGGCGACGAUCCGUAGCUGGUCU